rnacentral:tRNA from 1 species
GGAUGUGUGCUCAGUAGCAGAGCACUUGCCUAACAUGCACCAAGCCCUGGGUUCAAUCCCCAGCAUAUCAA